AGGACGAACGCUGGCGGCGUGCUUAACACAUGCAAGUCGAGCGGAAAGGCCCUUCGGGGUACUCGAGCGGCGAACGGGUGAGUAACACGUGAGUAAUCUGCCCCUAGCUCUGGGAUAGCUCCGGGAAACCGGGAUUAAUACCGGAUACGACCACCUUAGACAUCUUUUGUGGUGGAAAGAAUUUCGGCUAGGGAUGAGCUCGCGGCCUAUCAGCUUGUUGGUGGGGUAACGGCCUACCAAGGCGACGACGGGUAGCCGGCCUGAGAGGGCGACCGGCCACACUGGGACUGAGACACGGCCCAGACUCCUACGGGAGGCAGCAGUGGGGAAUAUUGCGCAAUGGGCGAAAGCCUGACGCAGCGACGCCGCGUGGGGGAUGAAGGCCUUCGGGUUGUAAACCCCUUUCAGCAGGGACGAAGCGAAAGUGACGGUACCUGCAGAAGAGCGCCGGCUAACUACGCGCCAGCAGCCGC
rnacentral:rRNA from 1 species